CACGUAGGGUGCGAGCGUUGUCCGGAAUUAUUGGGCGUAAAGAGCUCGUAGGUGGUUUGUCGCGUUGUUCGUGAAAACCGGGGGCUUAACCCUCGGCGUGCGGGCGAUACGGGCAGACUUGAGUACUGCAGGGGAGACUGGAAUUCCUGGUGUAGCGGUGGAAUGCGCAGAUAUCAGGAGGAACACCGGUGGCGAAGGCGGGUCUCUGGGCAGUAACUGACGCUGAGGAGCGAAAGCGUGGGGAGCGAACAGG
rnacentral:rRNA from 1 species